rnacentral:rRNA from 1 species
CAGUCGCCACGGGAAUACGUAGGUGGCAAGCGUUAUCCGGAAUUAUUGGGCGUAAAGCGCGCGUAGGCGGUUCGUUAAGUCUGAUGUGAAAGCCCCCGGCUCAACCGGGGAGGGUCAUUGGAAACUGGCGGACUUGAGUGCAGAAGAGGAGAGUGGAAUUCCAUGUGUAGCGGUGAAAUGCGCAGAGAUAUGGAGGAACACCAGUGGCGAAGGCGGCUCUCUGGUCUGCAACUGACGCUGAGGUGCGAAAGCGUGGGGAUCAAACAGGAUUAGAUACCCGAGUAGUCCCUGUCUCUUAUAC